rnacentral:rRNA from 1 species
GACGAACGCUGGCGGCGUGCUUAACACAUGCGAGUCGAACGGAAAGGCCUGCUUUCCCUUGUGGAUUGCGGGUACUCGAGUGGCGAACGGGUGAGUAACACGUGAGUGAUCUCCCCCCAACUUGGGUAUAAGCCUGGGAAACUGGGUCUAAUUCCCGAUAGGACUGCAGGGUGGUGCCUGUGGUGGAAAACGAUUUUCUAGUGGUUGGGGAUGAGCUCGCGGCCUAUCAGCUUGUUGGUGGGGUAAUGGCCUACCAAGGCGGCGACGGGUAGCCGGACUGAGAGAGUGGACGGCCACAUUGGGACUGAGAUACGGCCCAGACUCCUACGGGAGGCAGCAGUGGGGAAUAUUGCACAAUGGGCGGAAGCCUGAUGCAGCGACGCCGCGUGGGGGAUGACGGCCUUCGGGUUGUAAACUCCUUUCGACCGCGAGGAAGCCACCUGGUUGGAAGGGUGGUGACGGUAGUGGUAGAAGAAGCACCGGCUAACUACGUG